UAGAGAGCGAGAGAGAGAGGGACAGUGAGAGAGCAGGAAGAGGUAGACGAAACAAAUCAUCUGACACAGAGUUUCAAGGAAACUAAGGGAAGAAAAAAUGAAGGACAGGGAGAGAGUGAGUGAAUAGAGGAAAACUUGAAUAACAACUUCAGAAAACAGCAAGACAGUUGACCGAGAGUGGAAUGAGUAUUAGGAUAGAACAACACUGCUAACAGUGGAGGAGUGAAAGAGAACCCCCCCGAGGACAACAGGAUGCAGAGUUUCUGGAUGGAAUGGGUCCCACCUGUAAAAAAGACAAAGAAUAAAAGUCCAGAAGGAUAAACCAGGAACUGUAGAGCUCUGUCAGAGUGACCAUCGGGUUCUUGGUCACCUCCCUGACCAAGAAUGAGCGAGGAGCUGUCCUUUAAAGCAGGUGAAGUGUUCCUGAAGGUUGAGGGAGGAGGAUGACCAGGGCUGGUGCAGGGGGAUGAUGGAUGGAGGAAAGGACGGCUUCUACCCAGCUAAUUACAUUGAGGCUGUUGUGCAGUGAUGAUGUCAUCCUGCCACGCCCACACUCAAGUGUUACCUCAAGUGUUACAAAAUGUGCAUGUGUUCAUUGACAAAUCCACUUUGGUGCAAAAACAAUUUAGAAUUUUGAGUUGACUUUGACAUCUUACCAAAAUAACCAUAAACAUGAAAUGUUAACGCCCACAAUGUUAUCAUAAUCAUCAUGCUGAAAUAUGCAAUGUAAAUUUUUAUCUAAAGAUUGAUACCCUCAAUUAUCUAAUUUUAUAUCACCAAAUUUUUACAUUCUGGCACAAAGAACACAUGGUCAACUUCAUAAAAAACAUGUUUUCACAUCUCAAGAGGUAAAUACAAAAAAAUACUAUAGUAAGUGCCUAAUAAAUGCCAAAGUAGGUAACAGGGUUGACCGUAACUUAACCAAUUAAUCUUAAAUCUGCCAUAAAUCGCUUGUGACCUGGGGAAUGAAAGCUUGCUGUGUGCAACAGGGAGGGUCAAUUGAAUUCAAGCUUCAUCCCAAAAAUGAUACUGUUAAACAUUUAUAGUCUAUCUAUCUAUGGGUAAGAGGGUUGACAUGUUAUGCCAGACACACUCAGUUUUCUACCACAAAGCACCAACUGCCAACACACCUACUUUUACAUCAUGAUUUGACUUACUGUAUGUUCAAUGUUUAUAAAAAAGUUUUAAAAAUUAAGAGUUCACUUCACUUAAUAGGGUUGACCUUAAAAUGAGGUACAGACAUGAAUUAAUAAAAAAUAAAAAAUAAACAUUAAAUAAGUAAUAAUAAUAAUUUGUCAAAGCAACAAAAUAUCAAGGGAUUUGCAAUGAUGGUGAAAACUGAGAAACUUUGGGAUUAAGUGGGUUAAAAUCUUCAGAGAAGUAAAAAAAUAAAUACAUGAAAAUAAUGUCAAAAUAAUGUUUUUGUCAGUUUAGCAAAUCUUUGCUCAUAAAAAAUCGGAUUUAUUGAAUUUUCCAUAUGGUCUAUAUUAUUAAAGGGGCCUUUUAUUUAAUAAAACAGGCCUUUAAAAUUCAAUAUUGUUGCAACAUUCUUACUUGCAUUAUCAAACGAUGCAAAAGACACUUACUUCGCUGAACAACCCCUAUAUGUUUGGAAUAUUUGUGCAAUAUGAAUGAACUUAUAAAUAAAUGGCUAUCACUCACUGUGUGUACUUUUUGCAGGAGCUCUCCGGUUUAGAAGACCACAACAAUAUACCACUGGUGCGUCGGUGAACAGCGCCUUCAAACGAUGGAAUGCUCCGUCCACCUCUGCUGACCACUGUAUGCAGUGGCCCCCCCUUCAGCAGUGAGGUAAUAGGAUAAACCUCCGGUAGUAAUUGGCAAACUCUAAGAACCGCUGCACCUCUUUUACCGUGGUCAGAGUUGGCCAAUUACGCACGGCUUUGACGCGGUCACCCUCCAUUACCUCCCUCGAGGUGGAAAUGCGAUAACCCAGGAAGGAAACAGCUUGUUUGGAAAACUCACAUUGUACAGGUCAUGCCUCCAGCAGUCGCCCAAGAACCUUGCGCCUCAGAGACACAUGCGCGGCGCGUGAAGCGGAGUAGAUCAAGAUAUCGUAAAUACACACCACCACACCCUGUCCGUGCAGGUCUUUGAGAAUCUGAAUCUCGUCUACGAAGGAUUGAAAGAUGGCUGGAGCAUUCUUUAACCCGUACGGCAUGACGAGGUACUCAUAUUGGCCAGAUGUGGUACUAAACAUGGUUUUCCACUCAUCUCCCUCCCGAAUACGCACCAGAUUAUAACCGCUCCUGAGGUCCAGUUUCGUGAAGAAUCGCGCCCCCCGUGAAAUGAUUCCACCGCCGUAGCGAUGAGAGGUAGUGGGUAACUAAAACCCACAGUGAUGGAAUUGAGACCUCGAUAAUCAAUACACGGACGCAAACCACCCUCCUUUUUCUUCACGAAAAAGAAACUCGAGGAGACGGGUGACAUGGAGGGCCGAAUGUACCCCUGUCCCAGGGCUUCCAUGACAUAUGUCUCCAUAGCCAACGUCUCCUCCUGGGAGCUCCCUGUCUCCACGAAAUCUUAGGAUUGUGAAUAGCCAGUCAGGGAAUCCCCAGCACCACUGGAAACGCAGGUGAAUCGAAGGAACAGACUAACAGACGCUCCUCACUGGCCCACUCCAGGGCUCUACCCGUCAGGCAGGAGACGAGGACACUCACGCUCUCCUCAUCCGAGGGAGCCGGCCGAACGGUGGCUCCAAAGUCGUAUGCUCCAACGUCGUACGCUCCAACGUCGUAGGCUCCAACGUCGUACGCUCCAACGUCGUACGCUCCAACGUCGUACGCUCCAACGUCGUACGCUCCAACGUCGUACGCUCCAACGUCGUACGCUCCAACGUCGUACGCUCCAACGUCGUACGCUCCAACGUCGUAGGCUCCAACGUCGUACGCUCCAACGUCGUACGCUCCAACGUCGUACGCUCCAACGUCGUACGCUCCA